GCUGCCAAGCCAAAACGGCAUAAACGCCAAAAUGACCACUUUUUAGUUAGCUGCACCAAAAAAUAGGAUUUUAAUUUCCGCACCAGACAGUCAACGCGGUAUAACCCCAGACAAAGUGAAAUAGGGGUAAUAUUGGUUUAAAAUUUUUAUAAACGCCAGUCUAGUCACACACGUGAACACCGACGUGAACACCGAUUGACAUAAUCGCCAGUGCCCGUAAGAUUAUCAUUGUGUACAGUUCGGUCCAGUAAUAAUAGUAAAGAUGAAUAGCAGAAGUAAAAAAAUAAUGGCCUUAAUAAAUGACAAUAAAACAUAUACCGAAGCAGUAAAAAUGAUAUACAGACUGACAAUAAUUCCCCUAUAUUCCUCUUAGAGGUUUAUGAUAUUUAUAAUGCCAACAUUGCAGAAGCUUUUAGCAAUGACAUUAUCAUCUUUGAGGAACCACCAGACGUUGCAGUAGAAGAAGAAAUAUUUAGUCACGAUCUCACAUCAUGUUUCAACUUAGCAGCAGAUAAUGGUUUGGGUGCCAGUAUAAGUAGUGAUCAAAAUAAAGAAAAUACAAGCAAUCAAAUCAAUAAUGAUGUUGAACCAAAUAUUGACUGUGAUUAUGAAUUAGAAUCCGCUAUUAUUAGAUAUCCGCUCCUAUUUGCGAAUUAUUUACUUUUAAGUAUUUCAUCCUAGCAUCAAAAACAUGUUUAAAGAAUUUAGGGUAUUGUUUUUAACUUAGAAUGUAUUUUUGGUUUAAAAAAAUAAAGCCUAUCAAAAAUC